rnacentral:SRP_RNA from 1 species
UGUGCUAGAUGGGGAACUAGCGGUUCCUUGUAACCUGAAAUCCGCUAUAUGCAGGGUUGAACUCCAAUUUGAGGGAUUGGAAGAAUUUAAUGUAUUUAUAAAAGCGGUGUUGAUAUUUUCAGCUUUACGCAAUAGGUGUUAUUUUAAUCCCGCCAGAUCUGGAAGGAAGCAACGGUAGAAUAAUAAUUAUGUGCCGUAAAAUCCUGAGAUUGAGCUGGCUAUA